UACGUAGGGUGCAAGCGUUGUCCGGAAUUAUUGGGCGUAAAGAGCUCGUAGGCGGUCUGUCGCGUCGGCUGUGAAAACCCGGGGCUCAACCCCGGGCCUGCAGUCGAUACGGGCAGACUAGAGGUAUUCAGGGGAGAACGGAAUUCCUGGUGUAGCGGUGAAAUGUGCAGAUAUCGGGAAGAACACCCGUGGCGAAGGCGGCUCUCUGGGACGGUACUGACGCUGAGACGCGAAAGCGUGGGGAGCAAACAGG
rnacentral:rRNA from 1 species